rnacentral:rRNA from 1 species
GUCUAUGGCCAUACCACCCUGAGCCUACUCAUCUGAUCUCGGAAGUUUAGCAGGGUCAGGCCUAGUUAGUAUGAGAUUAGAAGAUGCAGAGCUGUGCACU